GAUGAAGAACGCAGCGAAAUGCGAUAAGUAGUGUGAAUUGCAGAAUUCAGUGAAUCAUCGAAUCUUUGAACGCACAUUGCGCCCCUUGGUAUCCCGAGGGGCAUGCCUGUUCGAGCGUCAUUAUAACCCCUCAAGCUCAGCUUGGUGUUGGGGCCUGCUGCACUGGCAGCCCUUAAAAUCAGUGGCGGCGCCAUCUGGCUCUAAGCGUAGUAAUUCUUCUCGCUAUGGAGUCCUGGUGGAUGCUUGCCAUCAACCCCCAAUUUUUCUAUGGUUGACCUCGGAUCAGGUAGGGAUACCCGCUGAACUUAAGAAUAUCAAUAAGCGGAGGA
rnacentral:misc_RNA from 1 species